AUACGGAGGGUCCGAGCGUUAUCCGGAAUCAUUGGGUUUAAAGGGUCCGUAGGCGGGAAUCUAAGUCAGUGGUGAAAUCUUGCAGCUCAACUGUAAAAUUGCCAUUGAUACUGGGUUUCUUGAAUUAGUGUGAAGUGGUUAGAAUGUGUAGUGUAGCGGUGAAAUGCAUAGAUAUUACACAGAAUACCAAUUGCGAAGGCAGAUCACUAACACUAUAUUGACGCUGAGGGACGAAAGCGUGGGGAGCGAACAGGAUUAGAAACCCCUGUAGUCC
rnacentral:rRNA from 1 species